AUUGAACGCUGGCGGCAGGCCUAACACAUGCAAGUCGAGCGGAUGAGUGGAGCUUGCUCCAUGAUUCAGCGGCGGACGGGUGAGUAAUGCCUAGGAAUCUGCCUGGUAGUGGGGGACAACGUUUCGAAAGGAACGCUAAUACCGCAUACGUCCUACGGGAGAAAGCAGGGGACCUUCGGGCCUUGCACUAUCAGAUGAGCCUAGGUCGGAUUAGCUAGUAGGUGAGGUAAUGGCUCACCUAGGCGACGAUCCGCAACUGGUCUGAGAGGAUGAUCAGUCAAACUGGAGCUGAGACACGGUCCAGACUACUACGGGAGGCCGCAGUGGGGAAUAUUGGACAAUGGGCGAAAGCCUGAUCCAGCCAUGCCGCGUGUGUGAAGAAGGUCUUCGGAUUGUAAAGCACUUUAAGUUGGGAGGAAGGGCAGUAAGCUAAUACCUUGCUGUUUUGACGUUACCAACAGAAUAAGCACCGGCUAACUUCGUGCCAGCCGCCGCCGUAACAC
rnacentral:rRNA from 1 species